AUACGGAGGGGGCUAGCGUUGUUCGGAAUUACUGGGCGUAAAGCGUACGUAGGCGGACUGAUCAGUUGGGGGUGAAAUCCCAGGGCUUAACCCUGGAACUGCCUUCAAUACUGUCAGUCUUGAGAUUGGAAGAGGUGAGUGGAAUUCCUAGUGUAGAGGUGAAAUUCAUAGGUAUUAGGAGGAACACCAGUGGCGAAGGCGGCUCACUGGUCCAAUACUGACGCUGAGGUACGAAAGCGUGGGGAGCAAACAGGAUUAGAAACCCCAGUAGUCC
rnacentral:rRNA from 1 species